GAUAAGGUUAAGUUAAUAAGGGCGCACGGUGGAUGCCUUGGCACUAGAAGCCGAAGAAGGACGUGACUAACGACGAAAUGCUUUGGGGAGCUGUAAGUAAGCGCUGAUCCAGAGAUGUCCGAAUGGGGGAACCCACUAGCUACUGGCUAGUAUCCAUAACUGUUAAGGUUAUGAGAAGGAAGACGCAGUGAACUGAAACAUCUAAGUAGCUGCAGGAAGAGAAAGCAAACGCGAUUGCCUUAGUAGCGGCGAGCGAAACGGCAGGAGGGCAAACCGAGAAGUUUACUUCUCGGGGUUGUAGGACUGCGACGUGGGACUUUAAAAUGAUAGAAGAAUUACCUGGGAAGGUAAGCCAAAGAGAGUAAUAGCCUCGUAUUUAAAAUUAUUUUGAGCCCUAGCAGUAUCCUGAGUACGGCGAGACACGCGAAAUCUCGUCGGAAUCUGGGAGGACCAUCUCCCAACCCUAAAUACUCUCUAGUGACCGAUAGUGAACCAGUACCGUGAGGGAAAGGUGAA
rnacentral:rRNA from 1 species